UUGACACACAUGCACGUAUCAAUCACCACUGCGUUACACUGAUGUUUAAACAUUUUCUUUAUGCAAAAUUCAUAAAUUUCAGCUUUUAUGAUGCAGUGGACGUGAUGUACAGCUGAUUUGAAUUUUAUUCUAAUGAAAGGUCCUAUUGAUAGUCAUGUUCGUGUGCAGUUCAUUUCUUAUUUACGUUUUUGAGGAAUAAACUGGGCAUUUGUGAUUGUGCGUAGUCCAUUUCAUAUUUUCUUCCUCUAGGAGUCAAAAUUGAUAUUCACAAUUGUGUGCAGUCCAUUUCAUAUUUACUUUUAUGAGGAGUACAUUGGAUAUUUACGAUUGUGUGGAGUCCGUUACAUAUUAACUUUUGUGCUAUUCAAUUCUAACUUUUGCUUCAAGUUGUUUUGAUAUAGAUAACUGUACAUGAUACAUGUUCUGUUGUUAUCGACUUAUUUCUUUUGUUGACUUGAAUUGAAUGCUUACUUGUAGAAGUCAAUUUCUGCGCACCAUCAAUUUUAUAUUUACUCUUGUACGGUGUCGAUCUGCCAAACACUGUGUAUUCAUUCAAAAUUAAUUUUUGAAGAUCUCUUAUUUACUUGUCAUAAGCAACCCUUUGGAUUGGGAAAAUAAAUAUCUUUUUUUGCCUUUCUGUGUAAUUGAUAACGUUCUGCGUGGAAAAAAUCAUGUGGACCAUAAAUUUACCAUUCACAGAAUAAAUUCAAUGACUCAAAAAGUACAGAUUUCAGGAGUUCAAUAGACAUCUUCCAGGAUGCAUCCAACCCAAGAGCAGCGGGAGGAAUCUAUUUUGAGGCCACACCUUUUUCUCCAUCCCUUACAUCUACAUUGUGCAAGUAUGAUUCCAUGAUUCGGAGCGUUCCUUAGAAGAAAAAACCAUUGGCGUUUAUUCGUUCUAGGCAUGUUACCUACACAGAAUUCUUGAUCAGUGCCUGUUCCAUCAAUGAAACUUACUAUGAUGUACGUACCAAUCAUGCAAAAAAUUAUCUUUUUUUCUUAAUUUAAAU